rnacentral:rRNA from 1 species
GGAUAACCUGCCCUUGGGACCGGGAUAACCCCGGGAAACUGGGGAUAAUACCGGAUAACGCAUAUCUGCUGGAAUGCUUUAUGCGUAAAAUGGAUUUGUCUGCCCAAGGAUGGGUCUGCGGCCUAUCAGGUAGUAGUGGGUGUAAUGUACCUACUAGCCUACGACGGGUACGGGUUGUGAGAGCAAGAGCCCGGAGAUGGAUUCUGAGACAUGAAUCCAGGCCCUACGGGGCGCAGCAGGCGCGAAAACUUUACAAUGCGGGAAACCGUGAUAAGGGGACACCGAGUGCCAGCAUCAUAUGUUGGCUGUCCAGAUGUGUAAAAUACAUCUGUUAGCAAGGGCCGGGCAAGACCGGUGCCAGCCGCCGCGGUAACACCGGCGGCCCGAGUGGUGAUCGUGAUUAUUGGGUCUAAAGGGUCCGUAGCCGGUUUGGUCAGUCCUCCGGGAAAUCUGACGGCUCAACCGUUAGGCUUUCGGUGGAUACUGCCAGACUUGGAACCGGGAGAGGUAAGAGGUACUACAGGGGUAGGAGUGAAAUCUUGUAAUCCCUGUGAGACCACCUGUGGCGAAGGCGUCUUACCAGAACGGGUUCGACGGUGAGGGACGAAAGCUGGGGGCACGAACCGGAUUAGAUACCCGGGUAGUCCCAGCCGUAAACGAUGCUCGCUAGGUGUCAGGCAUGGCGCGACCGUGUCUGGUGCCGCAGGGAAGCCGUGAAACGAGCCACCUGGGAAGUACGGCCGCAAGGCUGAAACU